rnacentral:rRNA from 1 species
GACGAACGCUGGCGGCGCGCCUAACACAUGCAAGUCGAACGAGCGAAAGAGAGCUUGCUUUCUUGAGCGAGUGGCGAACGGGUGAGUAACGCGUGAGGAACCUGCCUCAAAGAGGGGGACAACAGUUGGAAACGACUGCUAAUACCGCAUAAGCCCACGACCCGGCAUCGGGUUGAGGGAAAAGGAGCAAUCCGCUUUGAGAUGGCCUCGCGUCCGAUUAGCUAGUUGGUGAGGUAACGGCCCACCAAGGCAACGAUCGGUAGCCGGACUGAGAGGUUGAACGGCCACAUUAGGACUGAGACACGGCCCAGACUCCUACGGGAGGCAGCAGUGGGGAAUAUUGCACAAUGGGGGAAACCCUGAUGCAGCGACGCCGCGUGGAGGAAGAAGGUCUUCGGAUUGUAAACUCCUGUUGUUGAGGAAGAUAAUGACGGUACUCAACAAGGAAGUGACGGCUAACUACGUGCCAGCAGCCGCGGUAAAACGUAGGUCACAAGCGUUGUCCGGAAUUACUGGGUGUAAAGGGAGCGCAGGCGGGAAGACAAGUUGGAAGUGAAAUCUAUGGGCUCAACCCAUAAACUGCUUUCAAAACUGUUUUUCUUGAGUAGUGCAGAGGUAGGCGGAAUUCCCGGUGUAGCGGUGGAAUGCGUAGAUAUCGGGAGGAACACCAGUGGCGAAGGCGGCCUACUGGGCACCAACUGACGCUGAGGCUCGAAAGUGUGGGUAGCAAACAGG